AGAGAGGGAGGAAGGAUAGAAAGAAAAGAGGGAGAAGGAGAGAGAAGGGAAGAAGAAAGAACAAGAUCCCAGUGCCUUGCAUUUGUGUCAGGGAACAAGGGCACAGGACUUGGUAUGCAGCUAUCAGACAAAUGCCUUCAGGACCUAAGCAGUGACCCACAGGAGCAGGCCACACAUGCUAUCACCUCCGACUGUCAGAGUUACCAUUCUGAGAUCCACCCUUUAUCCCAGCAGCCCCGUUCUUUCCAUCUCUCACAGGUCCUCCUAUCCUGUGAGCCAGGCUCUGCUCUUUCACUUACAGACUGAGAGAAGGAAACACAGAGUCAACAGCAGAGCCAAGUGCCAGCCUCAGACCAGCUGCCCUCGCUCCUGCCCCUCCCUACCUCCGAUCUGUGCUCCAAGUCAGUUAACUGACUGUUCAUUAAAAUUACCUGUUACCUGGAGGCCUUUAAAAAUGAUAUAACUAGGGCUAGAGAGAUGGCUCAGCCGUUAAGGGCACUCGGCACUCUUCCAAAGAAUACAAGUUUGGUUCCUAGCACCCAUAUGAUAGCUUACAACUACCCAAAAUCCAGUUCUAGGUGAUCCAACCUGGCACAUGUGAGAUAUAAAUAUAUUCACACACAUAAAAUAAAGUAAUAAAAUAAUAUUACACACACACACACACACAAUCUUAGUUGGGUAUGUGAGUACACAGCUUAAUCCCAGUGCUCGGGAGACAGAGGCAAAUAAAUCUCUAUGAUUCUGAAGAUUGGUAUAUACAGUGAAUAUAUCAGCAGGGCUAUGUAGUGAAUAUACCAUAGCCAGGGCUAUAUAGUCAUACCCUGCCUCAAUAAUAAAUAAUAACAAUAGUAAUAAUGAUGGUAAUAUAACUUGGGAAGUAGAAGCAGAAGAAUCUAGACAAUUCUCAAGUCAUCCUGGGCUGUGUGCUAGAAUCCUAUCGCAAAAAAAUCGAUAAGAUAAUAAAUAAUAGUAACAAUAAUCAUAAUCACAAUAUAGCAAUAGCAGCAGCAAUAAUAAUAAUACAAAAAUAAAACUGAUCUUGGCCCAAGCUUCUGAUUCUAUUGUCUAAGAUGAGGUCUAUGUAUUGAUAUAUGUAAAAUUGAGCAUUAUUGCUGCAGGUUAUUUGUUCUUUUUUUUUUUCCAUGUAAUGUGUGUGUGUGUGCGUGCGUGCGCGCUUGUGCUUGUGCAUGACUUUGGGUGUCUUCCCCUGGUCUCUCACUGAACCAGAAGCUCACUGUUUUGCCUAGGUUGGGGUCAAUGAGCUCCAAGGAUUCACUUAUUUCUGCCUUUCAAUACUGGGAAUCAUAACUCUCAGCUUUUCUGUGGGGCUGGAGAUUCAAACCUAGCUCCUCAUGCUUGCAUACCCACAUUGUCGCCCUCUGAGCACCUCCUCAGCCCUCAGGUGCUUGGGUUUUACAGCAUUUGUCCCUACACCCGUGCUCUCAGCCUCUCACCUGUACUUCUGCUCUGCAGUGUGCCCGCAGACUGCACUGAUCAGUCCUUCAAGCUCCUUCUGAGAUGCUCGCUCUCCAUGUAGCCUUCUUGGAACCCCCAUCCUUCCUCUGAACCCCCAGCCUGUCUUUUCACACUCCCAGUUCCCACUUGUAUUGCUCACAGCUGUAUUUAAAAGUGGGUUGUGCAGGGAAGGAAGUUCCUCUGGGGGGUCAGUACCAUGUCUUUUUCUCUGUGUCCUUUGUGCCUGCCUCACGCGUGACACAGGGCUGGCCUUCAGUCAGCCUCACAAGGCAGAUGAAUGGAUGCAUUAUGCAUGGAUACAUGGGUGAAUGGAUGGAUAGAUGGUGCAUAGCAUACAGGAGCGGUGAAUGAAUGAUGGAUGCACACAUAGAUGAGUGAAUUGCCACCCUGAUAUUGCUGGAUAGAGUGGGAUUGUGCUAGUGAGACUUUCUGCCACUGUAAUAAACGAACAG
rnacentral:lncRNA from 1 species